rnacentral:rRNA from 1 species
AUUGAACGCUGGCGGCAGGCUUAACACAUGCAAGUCGAGCGGGGUGAGGUGCUUCGGUACUGAUCCUAGCGGCGGACGGGUGAGUAAUGCUUAGGAAUCUGCCAUUUAGUGGGGGACAACAUUCCGAAAGGAAUGCUAAUACCGCAUACGUCCUACGGGAGAAAGCAGGGGAUCUUCGGACCUUGCGCUAAAUGAUGAGCCUAAGUCGGAUUAGCUAGUUGGUGGGGUAAAGGCCUACCAAGGCGACGAUCUGUAGCGGGUCUGAGAGGAUGAUCCGCCACACUGGGACUGAGACACGGCCCAGACUCCUACGGGAGGCAGCAGUGGGGAAUAUUGGACAAUGGGCGGAAGCCUGAUCCAGCCAUGCCGCGUGUGUGAAGAAGGCCUUUUGGUUGUAAAGCACUUUAAGCGAGGAGGAGGCUACCUAGAUUAAUACUCUGGGAUAGUGGACGUUACUCGCAGAAUAAGCACCGGCUAACUCUGUGCCAGCCGCCGCAGUAACAC